rnacentral:RNase_P_RNA from 1 species
UGAGUUGGUUAGGCGGCCGCGUGAGUAUCAAACUCCCGAGGAACGUCCGGGCUCUACAGGGAACGGUGGUGGAUAACAUCCACUCGGGGUGACCCGCAGGCUAGUGCCACAGAAAGUAAACCGCCGCAGUAAUGCGGUAAGGGUGAAAGGGUGAGGUAAGAGCUCACCGCGUAACGAGUGAUCGUUGCGGCAUGGUAAACCCCACCGAGAGCAAGACCGAGUAGCGUACGCUGAGGCGUCCCGUUGAGUGCGCGGGUAGGUUGCUUGAGCUUAUUGGUAACGAUAAGCCUAGAUGGAUGGUCGCCACGCUUAUUUUAAGCGGACAAAACCCGGCGUAUCGGCCAACUCAUUCG